rnacentral:rRNA from 1 species
GAUGAACGCUAGCGGCAGGCCUAACACAUGCAAGUCGAGGGGUAGAGGAAGCUUGCUUCCUUGAGACCGGCGCACGGGUGCGUAACGCGUAUGCAAUCUACCUUUUACAGAGGGAUAGCCCAGAGAAAUUUGGAUUAAUACCUCAUAGUAUCUUUGCCUGGCAUCGGGUGCUUAUUAAAGUUCCAACGGUAAACGAUGAGCAUGCGGCCUAUGAGCUAGAUGGUAAGGUAACGGCUUACCAUGGCAACGAUAGGUAGGGGUACUGAGAGGGAGAUGCCCCACACGGGUACUUAGACACGGACCAGAAUCCUAGGGGAGGCAGCAGUGGGGAAUAUUGGACAAUGAGCACAAGCCAGAUCCAGCCAUGCCGCGUGAGGUAUGAACGCCCUAGGGUUGUAAAGCACUGUGGGCGGAGACGAAUAAGCCAUGGCUAAUAUCCAUGGUGAUGACGGUACCCGUUUAGCAAGCACCGGCUAACUCUGUGCCAGCAGCCGCAGUAACAC